rnacentral:rRNA from 1 species
CGGGACGGGUGAGUAAUGUCUGGGAAACUGCCUGAUGGAGGGGGGUAACUACUGGAAACGGUAGCUAAUACCGCAUAACGUCGCAAGACCAAAGAGGGGGACCUUCGGGCCUCUUGCCAUCGGAUGUGCCCAGAUGGGAUUAGCUAGUAGGUGGGGUAACGGCUCACCUAGGCGACGAUCCCUAGCUGGCUGAGAGGAUGACCAGCCACACUGGAACUGAGACACGGUCCAG